CCUACGGGAGGCUGCAGUGAGGAAUAUUGGUCAAUGGUCGGGAGACUGAACCAGCCAAGCCGCGUGAGGGAGGAAGGUACAGAGUAUCGUAAACCUCUUUUGUCAGGGAACAAAGGCGGGUACGUGUCUCCGGAUGAGUGUACCUGAAGAAAAAGCAUCGGCUAACUCCGUGCCAGCAGCCGCGGUAAUACGGAGGAUGCGAGCGUUAUCCGGAUUUAUUGGGUUUAAAGGGUGCGCAGGCGGAUUGUUAAGUUGGAGGUCAAAGCUCCGGGCUUAACGCUGGCACUGCCUUUAAUACUGUGGAUGUAGAGAGUAGGUGCGGUAGGGGGAAUGUAUGGUGUAGCGGGGAAAUGCGGAGAGAUGAGACAGAACACCGGUUGCGAAGGCAGCUUACCAAACUAUAUCUGACGUUGAGGCACGAAAGCGUGGGGAGCAAACAGGAGUAGAUACAUGAGUAGUC
rnacentral:rRNA from 1 species